GGAGCUGUAGCUCAGAGGUAGAGCGGUAGAUGUAUGACUAAGCAACUCUGACCAAUCAGAAUCAUAUUCUAACAAUUUAUACAGUGCAAUUCGCAAUUAUCUAUAGGCCCCGUGUUCGAUCCACGGCAGUUCCU